UAUCAAGAGCCAUUCUGCAUCUCUUGACGAUCCUUUCAAUCCAUAUCAGUUCUAGAAGUGUCGUUUGCCUUCUCGGAUCGUAUCCAACACCCAGCUAAAGUGAUCCUUCCUGAUUUAGGGCGUAUCACCUCACCCAUCUCAACGUCAGAACUUCUCUUGCCACCUUGGGAGGAAGACAUGUUGAAGGCUAAAAUUUGGGAGCUAGAGAGGUUUUGAAGGUUUGAAGAAGGGAAGGUAUGAAGAAAAUGAAUGACAAGAGCUCACUACUUAUAGAAGUAUGGGCUUAGAAUUUUUUUUUUUUUUAAUAUAUACCUUCUCGAUGAUUUUCUUCCGCGGAGUUUAGAGUAUAAACUUCGUCCAAUACGCCUAACUUUGCCAAAAUUGUCAAACCGCGCGCUAGAGUCUCGACCCUAACGGGCUGGGGGGCUAACUAUUGGGGUCAAAAACGGUUGCGACGAAGUUAACAUUAAAAACGUCCAAAGAAGAAAAUGAGAACUUUCUUCGACAAAUACUUUUUUGAAAUAGAUUCGUUCUUACGAAAAGCUUUGCGGAGGAAACACGAGACAUCGGACAAAAGCCCGAAUAAGG
rnacentral:lncRNA from 1 species